rnacentral:rRNA from 1 species
AUUGAACGCUAGCGGAAUGCUUUACACAUGCAAGUCGGACGGCAGCAACAAGAAGCUUGCUUCUUGGGUGGCGAGUGGCGAACGGGUGAGUAAUGUAUCGGAACGUAUCCAAUAGUGGGGGAUAACUACGCGAAAGCGUAGCUAAUACCGCAUACGUCCUACGGGAGAAAGCAGGGGACCUUCGGGCCUUGCGCUAAUGGAGCGGCCGAUAACGGAUUAGCUAGUUGGUGGGGUAAGGGCCUACCAAGGCGACGAUCCGUAGCUGGUUUGAGAGGACGACCAGCCACACUGGGACUGAGACACGGCCCAGACUCCUACGGGAGGCAGCAGUGGGGAAUUUUGGACAAUGGGGGCAACCCUGAUCCAGCCAUUUCGCGUGUGUGAAGAAGGCCUUCGGGUUGUAAAGCACUUUUGCCAGGGAAGAAAAGGGACUGACUAAUAAUUGGUUCUGCUGACGGUACCUGGAGAAUAAGCACCGGCAAACUACGUGCCAGCAGCCGCGGUAAUACGUAGGGUGCGAGCGUUAAUCGGAAUUACUGGGCGUAAAGGGUACGCAGGCGGCAUGGCAAGAAGGAUGUGAAAUCCCAGGGCUCAACCUUGGAACUGCAUUCUUAACUGCCAAGCUAGAGUAGGUCAGAGGGGGGUAGAAUUCCACGUGUAGCAGUGAAAUGCGUAGAGAUGUGGAGGAAUACCGAUGGCGAAGCAGCCCCCUGGGAUCAUACUGACGCUCAUGUACGAAAGCGUGGGGAGCAAACAGG